CACGGGGGGUUUUCCUAAAUCGUCGUCUCCUCUUUCUCCUCCUCUCCGCCAAAUCGACGGAGGAUUCCACUACCCUUAAGCUCCGUCCAGGCGUCACACUCCUGCUAGGCGACGUGCUCCGGCCAGGCGUCGCCCACGCAGCUGAUCCCAUGGUGGGCAUAUCGAUUGGGCAGAGGUCAUUGUCGGCCGACAGCGCUGGGCGAGGCCUUCCAGCGUUCGACGGAGGCAUAAAGAAGAGGAAAAAUAGAGGCGCGAGAAGAGAAAAGGCAAGUACAUCCUCUAUGAUGAUAUGGGAUCGGUGAGGUUGGUUUUGAGUUUCUGGACAAAACUCUUAUGGAAUUCGUGCACCUUUGAUGAUGUUGUACCCCUUUCUAUCUCUGCCAAGGGUCUGGACAGAUUUAUAGAUAAGGAUGCCUCCCAGGAUAUGCGAACGGAGUAGGCGAGGAGAUGAGAUGGACGCAUGACACUGUCUUGGCAUUUUAGGAGUGUAGAGCAUACUUGUUCUAUUGUGAGAGGUUCUUCAUUUGAAUAGGGAGAUGUUUGAGGAUUCAUUGCCCCUUAUUAUUAAGUUCUUGUUGA